rnacentral:rRNA from 1 species
GACGAACGCUGGCGGCGUGCUUAACACAUGCAAGUCGAACGGAAAGGCCUUUUCGGAGGUACUCGAGUGGCGAACGGGUGAGUAACACGUGGGUGAUCUGCCCUGCACUCUGUGUUAAGCCUGGGAAACUGGGUCUAAUACCGGAUAGGACCGCACUUUAGUGUGUGUGGUGGAAAGUUUUUUCGGUGUAGGGUGAGCCGGCGGCCUAUCAGCUUGUUGGUGGGGUAAUGGCCUACCAAGGCGGCGACGGGUAGCCGGACUGGGGGGUUGGUCGGCCACAUUGGGGAUUAGGGACGGCCCAGACUCCUAAGGGAGGCAACAGUGGGGAAUAUUGGACAAUGGGGGCAAGGCUGGUGCAGCGAGGCCGCGGGGGGGAUGACGGCCUUCGGGUUGUAAACUCCUUUCGCCAGGGACGAAGCGUUUUGUGACGGUACCUGGAGAAGAAGCACCGGCUAACUACGUG